GAGAGCAACAAAAGCCCUAAGAGUCCAUUUCGAUACAGUUCAUCCUCCAAAUAACCUUGUUACUGUCCUGGCAACACAGAGACCUACGCUGUUACGCUUGAAAUCAAGAAAAAUAAUAAACCAGGUCCAGUGGGACACACUUUUUGGAGUUAACAAUCCUGUGUCAAAGGACUUUGAUAUUUCACUGUUAGUCUGCCUUUUACGAAACAUGAGUCCCUCUACACCAGCACCAGCAGGGGAUUUGAUAUUCUACCCAAUCCAUCAGAUGUCAGUACUGGGGCUGACUUAGCAAGAAUUAAGUUCUACAGAAAACACAGUGGCCCAUUCGUCAGGUGCAAGAAUGACCACAAAUGAAUUUAAUACUAGCUGGAACGACAUUGAAGGGGCUAUUGGAAGACUUGGAGGUUCUGCAUUACUAAAUGAAGCUCAAACUUUAAGGGUAACCUCAAUCGAUGACUCUGAGAGAGAACUUCUAUUAGAGCAUUUACUGGAAAUAAGACGGCUGAGAUUGGAACGGUUAGAAACGAUACCCUGGAAUG